AUAAUAUGUUAACGUCCAAGGCUAUAAAAGGCGUGGCAGUUGGUUAUCCUCUGAGAAUAAUCGCCAAAGACAUUAGAGUAUCUGAAGUAGAUUUUAGUCCAGAAUAUAUCGCUAGAAUAAUUCCAAAAGUGGAUUGGACCGUGCUGUGAAAGCUGCAGAUAGUAUAGGGCAUGUUGGUGAAUUACCUCAGGUUUUAAUAGAAGACUUUGAGACGAAUGAAGAUUUUCUGAAGAAAGCUCACCAUGUUCUGUUGGAGGUUGAAGUUAUAAAUGGGCAUUUAUUAUGUCCAGAAUCCGGUAGGAA